rnacentral:rRNA from 1 species
GAGACCUCAGGUCAGGCGGGACUACCCGCUGAAUUUAAGCAUAUCAAUAAGCGGAGGAAAAGAAACUAACAAGGAU